rnacentral:rRNA from 1 species
GAUGAACGCUAGCUACAGGCUUAACACAUGCAAGUCGAGGGGCAGCAUGGUCUUAGCUUGCUAAGGCCGAUGGCGACCGGCGCACGGGUGAGUAACACGUAUCCAACCUGCCGUCUACUCUUGGACAGCCUUCUGAAAGGAAGAUUAAUACAAGAUGGCAUCAUGAGUCCGCAUGUUCACAUGAUUAAAGGUAUUCCGGUAGACGAUGGGGAUGCGUUCCAUUAGAUAGUAGGCGGGGUAACGGCCCACCUAGUCUUCGAUGGAUAGGGGUUCUGAGAGGAAGGGCCCCCACAUUGGAACUGAGACACGGUCCAAACUCCUACGGGAGGCAGCAGUGAGGAAUAUUGGUCAAUGGGCGCAGGCCUGAACCAGCCAAGUAGCGUGAAGGAGGACUGCCCUAUGGGUUGUAAACUUCUUUUAUAAAGGAAUAAAGUCGGGUAUGUAUACCCGUUUGCAUGUACUUUAUGAAUAAGGAUCGGCUAACUCCGUG